CGUCACAGGAUUUUCCGACUCACCGGAAUGACGUAAAAAAGUGACGACACCGAAAAGCAAACUAAAGCAAAGCAGCAUGCAGUGUGUCAGGCGCUUCUUGAUACGUUUUGAAGUAUGUGCUAGACCGCGCCGAGCUUGUGGUCGGGCUGUGCGAACUUGGCGGCAGGAGGAAGGCAACGUGCCACAUGUACUGUUCGGUGGCACUGUUCGUGGAACGGCGAUUGUUUCGACUACAUCAGGGCUGUGUUCUCCGGCGGAUUGCGUGCUGGUGUGUCACAAGCCUCUGUGUUCAUGUUGGAAACUGCCAUUCAAGACUCCUGUGGACGCGUAUCUAGAGGACAUAUGUGUGAUGCAGUUGGCGUUGUUGCUGUCCGAGAGGAGCUCGAGCAGGAAUUGCCACAGCUGGAUCUGGCCGCUGCCUGCGUGGAGAGGAACAAUGACAGUGUGUGUUAGGCCUGCUAGCAAGAUCACGACCUGUGAAGAGAGAGAGUGGGACAUGCCCAUUCUGGAGGACUGGCCAAGAGCGGACACACACCCAUGGCACAUAGCGAAUGGCUAAUUGUAAAUAACUAAAUCAUGGAAUCUGCGCAAGAUGAUUCACUGUUUCAUCAAGAAAUCGGUGUGCUUCAAAGAACUCUGUGAGCCGACAUUGUAUGUCCAGGUUUUAUGUGGCAAUCGUAGUGGGACAUGCCCAUUCUGGACGAUUGGCCAAGGACGGAGAUACAAUCAGUGGCGCAUACUGAGUGGCAAAAUUAAAGAAAGUAAAGUAAAUCAAAUAACUCAUUAAAUGUAUUUCACCAUUCCACUAACAGAUCGGUGUGCUUUGAGAUCCUUAUUAGGCGACGUUAUAUGUUCAUGUUUUGUGCAGGAAGUUAUAUUUUGUGUGUGUGUGUGUGUGAUGAAAAACACAGGUGCGAAUACUUGGUUAGUACGCAGGGGUUGCAUAGGCCACUUCGCUGCUAGUUUCAUUUAACCUCUUUAUGUGUAUCAACAAAUACGUAUAUCCGCCUAGACAGCGACCAACCCAGCACCACCCAACAUCCAGUCAGCCACGCAAAACCCAGGAAAGUAGGCAACGAAAGCUUCGCUUUAAUAAGCAGUGAACCCUGAGACAUCAUAGGAGAAAUAAUUACCAUGUUAACUUCAAAAGGUAGAAGUAAUAAAGCAAAGGGAAAUGAAAGUGAACGAAAAGCUAACUUGUCGUAGCUGGGAGCCGAACUCACACUUUCCGCAUUGCGCGUGCAGUGCUUCACCGAUUACACUAGCGCGGGGCCAUCUUCUCUUCCACUUCUGUGGGUGUUCGUAUGUGUGCAAGGUUAGCUUUGGUUAGCUUUGGCUAAGGCGGUGGACGCACGUGUUUAACGCAGUGUACGUGAGCUUAGGAGCUGGCAAUUGGCCAAUAAAACCUCGCAUGCUUGAGCGAAAACAAUAAGGGCAUUUGUCGGUCUUUGCUAGUCACAACCAUACGUAGAAACAUACAAUGAAGUCAGAGAACGCAAAAUCGUCAUGCUUAAUUAGUUCAAAUGUAGAAAUAAUAAAGUAAACGGAAAUGAAAGCGGAUAAGGUGGUAGCCGAACCUACCGUAUUCCGUAUUUCACGCAUUGGCUAUAGUGCCGCAAACGUUCUUUGUCGCGUGGCCGCGCUGCCCAUUUAAGCUGCCAUGUCCCCCUUUGACUCGGGCGCUCACUGACGACGUCUCACUCGUCGGUUCAUUAAAGAGAACACACAACAACGCCGACCAACGGGGCGGCUUUCGUAGUCAUCCGAUGGCUCAUACUCACGCGCCCAACGCUGACUCACGAUUCUACUCCUCACCACGUGCAAGUCAGGUCCAAUUUCGCGUCCGCGUUGCCUGACCUAUGCAUGCGUAUUUUGUUUUUGUUUUGACUCGGAGACGGCGGCUGCUGGGAAAAUCAGCGGUGGCUACGGUUCCCGCAGGACCACGAAUUGCGUGACCGCGCGGGCUCCUACGCGGCCAGCCGCUGCGAUU